rnacentral:rRNA from 1 species
AUUGAACGCUGGCGGCAGGCCUAACACAUGCAAGUCGAGCGGAUGACGGGAGCUUGCUCCUGGAUUCAGCGGCGGACGGGUGAGUAAUGCCUAGGAAUCUGCCUGGUAGUGGGGGACAACGUUUCGAAAGGAACGCUAAUACCGCAUACGUCCUACGGGCGAAUGCAGGGGACCUUCGGACCUUGCGCUAUCAGAUGAGCCUAGGUCGGAUUAGAAAGUUGGUGAGGUAAUAGCUCACAAAGGCGACGAUCCGUAACUGGUCUUAGAGGAUGAUCAGUCACACUGGAACGGAGACACGGUCCAGACUCCUACGGGAGGCAGCAGUGGGGAAUAUUGGACAAUGGGCGAAAGCCUGAUCCAGCCAUGCCGCGUGUGUGAAGAAGGUCUUCGGAUUGUAAAGCACUUUAAGUUGGGAGGAAGGGCAGUAAGCGAAUACCUUGCUGUUUUGACGUUACCGACAGAAUAAGCACCGGCUAACUCUGUGCCAGCAGCCGCCGUAAUAC